ACUGCAUGAGAACCCAAAAUAUACAGAUGUUUUUCUCCCAUGUUUGUAAACAUUGUAAAUGUAAACAAAUACUGUAUAGCCUCAUAACAUGGUUAAAACAAUAAUUCUGAUAUCACCAUUCUCAGAUUAAUGGACAGAGCUAUGGAUGCAAGGAUGCAAGGACUGACCACCCAUGAUAUCAACAUUAUUGUUACAUUAUUGUUACAUUUCUCCACACUAACAAAAAGGUAAACAAUAGGCCUAUAGCAAAUGCAGCAUAUGGCAUUCAUUUUCACACGUAAAUAGCAUUUUUCAGUUGUGCUCAAAGCAUUCCAUUCCAUGAUUGCAGCAUUUACUUUUCAACUCGAAUCAAUGAGCUCAAUUAGUCCUCCAUGACAAUAAAAUCAUAAACAACGAAGUAAGGCUGGCUAAUUAGUUCUUCGUUUUAGGAACAUGCUCAGGUAAAGCAGUUUGGCCAAUCUAUGCUUCCAUAUUUCCAAGUCCUAUUCUUGAAGAUCAAGGGGUAUAACAUUUAUUGGAAUGACUGGAAUUCUGAUAGACUUUGGUUUUUAAUGUAGUAGAUAUGUAGUAGAAAGCGAUGGGUUAGAAGAAGCCUACAUAACCAACCCAUAAAGUAAAAUGUAACAUUCAUAUAUGGCCAGCUAUGUAAACUUUAACAUUGAUUUAUCCUGGAAUGUUGUUCAAUUGGUAAUAUACAUUUUUGUUUCCUUCUAAUGCCUCUUAAGGGGAAAGUAAUCUAAAAGUAACGGAAUGUAAUCAGAAUACAUGACUAAAUUUGGAUAAUCCAAAAGUUACAUUACUGAUUACAAUUUUGGACCGGUAACUGUAACAGAUUACAUUUAGAAAGUAACCUACCCAACCCUGGCCUUGUUUGAAUUGCCCUGCCAAUGCAUUGUUGUUCAGGCCAUUUUUGAUGAUGGUGCCUGCCCGUUGCGAUUUUAGCUUGUACAUCUUGGUGCCAGCAAAGCCACAACACAACACUAAACAAUACGUUAAUUGCGCUAUAACGGUGACAAACCGUGCUUACAAACUGUUUGGGCCUAAAUCAAAUCAAAUUUUAUUUGUCACAUACACAUGUUUAGCAGAUGUUAUUGCGGGUGUAGCGAAAUGCUUUUGUUUCAAGCUCCAACAGUGCAGGAAUAUCUAACAAUUCACAACAAUAGACACAAUACACACAACCUAAAAGUAAAAUCAUGGAAUUAAGGAAUAUAUAAAUAUUAGGAUGAGAAAUGUCGGAGUGGCAUAGACUAAAUACAGUAGAAUAGAAUGCAGUAUAUACAUAUGAAAUGAGUAAAGCAAAAAUAUGUAAACAUUAUUCAAAUGACUAGUGUUCCAUUAUUAAAGUGGCCAGUGAUUUCAAGUCUAUGUAUAUGGGGCAGCAGCCUCCAAGGUGCAGGGUUACGUAACUGGGUGGAUGGAAGCCGUCUAGUGAUGGCUAUUUAACAGUCUGACGGCCUGGAAAUAGAAGCUAUUUUUCAGUCUUGUAAGGAAGUGCUAUUUCUUAUGCAGAUGACCAGCCUACUGCUAUUACAUUGCUAUAACUGAGACAACGUAUUUUCACAGUAAAACAUGUUAGGUCCCAUACAGGAUAGCUCCCACACCCACACACACACACAUUACACACACUAACUGCCGAGGACACACAGAUAAGACAUACACCCACACAUUUGGGAGGAGGACACACAGCCUUGAGACAGAAACCAGCGCACACACAAAAUCUCCUUCCUAGCCGAACAUUGUGUGACUGAGAACGAGACGACGAGACCCGGAGGAACGACGGACGGCUCAACAGGACCAAUCCAAGAAGACAACACCUCAACUGUGGCCAAUCAAAAGCCAGGGACUUUCAGACUCAACCCACUUUUCUGUACUGUACUUAACAUGCUUGCAAUCUGUUAUCGGGGCUUCUUUCUGCUGGUUCCUUGGUAGCCAAAUGAAUGAGCCCGUAUACGUUGUACCAGAUAUCUUUACUCUGAAUAAACUGUCGCUUGUCAUAUAAUUGACCACCUUGUCCGAAUCGAUCCUUGACCGACUCGCCCUAUCUACAUAUCCCAUCAUCAACAGUCUCUCGGUCCCAACUUUGAUGCACUUGUACUGACCUUGCCUUCUGGAUGAUAGCGGGGUGAACAGGCCGUGGCUCGGGUGGUUGUUGUCCUUAAUUAUCUUUUUGGCCUUCCUGUGACAUCAGGUGCUAUAGGUGUCCGGGAAGGCAGGUAGUUUGCCCCGGAUGAUGCCUUGGGCAGACCGCACCACCCUCUGGAGAGCCCUGCGGUUGCCGUACCAUGCGGUGAUACAUCCCGAAAGGAUGCUCUCAAUUGUGCAUCUGUAGAAGUUUGUGAGGGUUUUAGGCGCCAAGACAAAUUUCUUCAGCCUCGUGACAUUGAAGAGGCGCUGUGGAGCCUUCUUCACAACACUGUCUGUGUGGGUCGAUCAUUUCAGAUCAUGCGGUCCCGUCGAUGUGGAUAGGGGGGCGCUCCCUCUGCUGUUUCCUUAAGUCCACGAUCGAAUUCGCCAAAGCUCUAGAGCAUAUCACCAAACGCUACAUGCAGUAAUUCCUUGACGUCACUUGGAGGGCUCCCUGUCGUCUACUGUGGCUCAGAUGACCAACAGGAGCUGCCAGCGCGGUGUGGAGAGAGAGAGAUUCAGAGAGAGAGAGAGCAAGAUAAACGAUCGAUUCUGUGCGUGCAUGAUGGACAUUUAAACAUCCACUCAUCUGAAAUUGCAAAUUGUUUGGAUGGGCAAUGAGAGGAGACAUCAGAUGGGAGUAACCAGGAGAUGUGGUGUCAACGUACCCCAUUUGACUGUGUACGUGGAUCGGGGUGAUUGAUGGCAGUGAUGGAUGUCACUUCCUGUUGUCCUACUGGUUAUCUCAGGGCCUGAGGUGGAGGACAGCACCUUAUCCCUGGUCACUGAAAUCCCUAGCUCACACCCUGUUCCUCCCCUUCCUUGUCCCCUUCAGCCGCUUUCAGAGGACCCCUCCCCCUUCCUAGUUCAAAGUUUAGAUUCUCCUCCAGUAGAAAUUAAUGGAACUUAUCUGGACAUGCCGCCGGAGUAAUUUGUCAGGAAGCCUGUCGCCAAGAAUAACGCAAGAGGUUUCCGUCAGCCUUACAGUGUGUGUGCCAAGGUGAAGGAUGACUAGGAAUCCUGUUAUUUUGUUUGGUAGUAGGUUUUUUGAAGUUGUCCUUUUCCACAGAAAAGAUACAUCUAGGCAGGCUAUGUACAUCCAUCCAUGCUUGUUAUACUGUGUAUUAAUGAACUAUGUUGGACUGACCUGGUGGGUGAUGUGAGGUCAUGAACUACCAGAAUCAGGUUGUGUUCUAUUAGAAAUCACACAAUGUUGAAUGCAGGGUAAUGAAUGAAGGAUGAGUCAUUGCCAGUGAAUCUCCUGAAUCACUCUGUGCUGCUUAGAAACACAGCGUCUGAACUCUACUUUAAAUAGUCUACUGUAUGCUAUAUCCUGUCUGUGUAGAGAUGCCAAUCCCACAGCCAGAAAAAUGUAAUGAUGCUUCCAGUUUUCUUAUUAUAAAGCACAGUCCCACUGGGUACACAUUGGUUGAA